UGCAAGUCGAACGAGAAAGUUCCUUCGGGAGCAAUUAAAGUGGCGCACGGGUGAGUAACGCGUAGACAAUCUGCCCUUCAGUCUGGGACAACUUUUCGAAAGGAGAGCUAAUACCGGAUAACAAUGCAUGACACAAGUUGUAUAUUUGAAAGCUUUAUGUGCUGAAGGAGGGGUCUGCGUCCCAUUAGCUAGUUGGUAAGGUAAAGGCUUACCAAGGCAACGAUGGGUAGCGGGUUUGAGAGGACGAUCCGCCACACUGGAACUGAGACACGGUCCAGACUCCUACGGGAGGCAGCAGUGGGGAAUAUUGCACAAUGGAGGCAACUCUGAUGCAGCAAUGUCGCGUGAGUGAAGAAGGCCCUUGGGUCGUAAAGCUCUUUUAUGGGGGAAGAUGAUGACGGUACCCCAAGAAUAAGCACCGGCUAACUAUGUGCCAGCAGCCGCGGUAAUACAUAGGGUGCGAGCGUUGUUCGGAAUUACUGGGCGUAAAGGGCGCGCAGGCGGAAUAGUAAGUCGGAGGUGAAAGCCCGGGGCUCAACCCCGGAGGGUCUUUCGAAACUACUAAUCUAGAGAGGGUCAGGGGCCGGCAGAAUUCCUGGUGUAGAGGUGAAAUUCGUAGAUAUCAGGAGGAAUACCGGUGGCGAAGGCGGCCGGCUGGGGCCACUCUGACGCUGAGGCGCGAAAGCGUGGGGGAGCAAACAGGAUUAGAUACCCUGGUAGUCCACGCCGUAAACGAUGAGCACUGGACGUCCGGAGGGUUCGACCCUUCUGGGUGUCUCAGCUAACGCAUUAAGUGCUCCGCCUGGGGAGUACGGUCGCAAGACUAAAACUCAAAGGAAUUGACGGGGGCCCGCACAAGCGGUGGAACAUGUGGUUUAAUUCGAUGCAACGCGAAGAACCUUACCUGGUCUUGACAUCCUCGGACCGCUUCAGAGAUGAAGUUUCCUCUUCGGAGGCCGAGUGACAGUGCUGCAUGCUGUCGUCAGCUCGUGUCGUGAGAUGUGGGUUAGUCCCGCACGAGCGCAACUCCUACCCUUAUGCAUCGGUAUGCGGGCACUUAGGGGACUGCUGUGACAGCGAGAGGUGGGAUGACGUCAGUCUCAUGCUUAUGACAGGCCUACCACGGUACAUGGGAGUACGAGGGAAGCUUAGCGCGAGCCAUGCCAUCCGAACUUCUCAGUCGAAUCCGGCUUGUCAAAUUCAUACG
rnacentral:rRNA from 1 species